GAAAGGCUUUAGGUCAGGCAGGACGCAAGAACAUUAUUCAUGCUGACUUCCUGUCACAUGACAUGGACUAUUUGGAGCAGCAGGAAGCAGCUGUUGGUUUCUUCCCCAGUUGGGAACAAUUCCUGAUGGUUGCCAGAAGAUCUUUAUCUGCCUCCACGUCCUUUUUCCUCACGCUCAAUUAAUGGCGACCAAUGUCCGCUGAGUGCAGGACAGACACGCGGUCCUCAUCAUCCCUGACAAGCUGGGAAACAGAGGGGGGCGGGGUCAAAGGUUACAUAGGGUGACGGAGUGAUGACAGUCGCAGAUAUGCCGGAGCCUAUCCCAGCGAACUUAGGGGCAAGAGGCGGCAUACAUCCUGGAUUGGUCGCCACUCCAUCACAGGACGCCUCCUGAGAUGCAAGUGGACCUGCUGAGGAAGAAGAAGCCCAGCACAAAAGACACGACAAUCAAACAAGGUUGCCUCUGAUUGGUUCCUUUUAUUGGAGACGCCAUCAUACAACACUUCACACCGCCUUCAACAAGCAGAACCACAGCGGGCUCGGCUGGAGUCCAAAGUGCAGCAGGACAACGCAUGAGAGCACGAGGAGGAACUCUGAGAGUUCUGGUACUGGUUCUGUGGAGAGGAAGCCCUUCGUGUGUUUGAUGAAGAGCAGACGCCACGAAGCACGAAGACAUAUUCGCAAUAAAUAGUUGGUAAAAAAAGAAGGAUGUUUGGCGUCACCAUCUUUGUUUUGUUUCACCGUCAUCACGUUGAAAUGAAAUGCCAACGAAGAUGUGGUGGUGUUUGUGUUUAUUGAUACAAAGACGAGUCCACCGUCAGUCCGUCAGUGAGCUCGCAGACAACAGACAGACAUUUUGGCGGAGGGGAUGGGGGGUGGUUGGAGUUCUCAGGUCAGAUCUUGAGGUCGAAAUGGCGAUGGCGGCUCUGGCAUUCCUAAGAGUUUUCACCUGACCCGCAUCCCUCCUCAUUUGUCCAAUAAGCCGCUCCCCCCCUCCACAAAACCUCUCAUCCAAAAAGCAGGAAGUGUUUCUUUCAUGUCAU